GUCCCUUCCUGCCCUUCAGGAGAUGUCAGUGGUUUGAUGCUGCAAACAGUCAGCUCAGUCCACUGAGCUGUAUUUUCCUGUAAUGUAAGUGGACUGCAUUUUCUUUUGGAAGCAGUUCAUUCACAAUUUCCUUGGGUGGAGGCUUUUCCGUUGUGAGCUGCAUGAUACUGCUGUUUUCAUAGUAGUGGCAGAGCAAAGACUUGGAAGUUUCAUAUAUAAGCUAUUGUUAAGCUCUGGGAAGCUCUUCAGAACUGUUAAUUGCUGUAGUUGCAGUUUCUGCCAGCGUCUCUUUGGUAUUUUUGGUCCAACCUCAAGCUGAAGGGAAAGUGCUUCAUUGCCUAACCCAGGAGACGUGACAAAACUGAUAUUGGAAGCUAUGGGACAUACCAGCUCUCCGUCACUUGUGGCUUGAUGCAGUUCACACAAACUCAUCUGGUCUUUGGCUGCAGGUGAAGCUUCUUUGUGCUCCCAGCAGUGAUUGCACCACCACCACCACCAUGCCCCC